GCACGUGACUCAGGGCGGCCCCGCCCCGGCAGUGCUCACGCGCUCUGGGAGCGGCACCGCGGACGUGCGGCGGGCAGGGGCGGCAAUGGCGGCCCACGGAGGGCGGGGCGGGGCGGGGCGGGGCCGGAGCCCGCGGUCCGCCGCCAGGGGGCAGUCACGUGCCUGCGUCCCUCGCCGGCUGGAACCGGUCUGACCGGAAGUCGGGGCGGGGCCUUCGCGUCCGCCACGCGUGCCACGUGGCGGGCGGGAGAGACUGGGAAAACAACAAGAUGCUCCUGCGAGCAGGGAAGGGCGACACCUCUCAGCAGACGCCGGCGCCGCGAGCGGAAGUGGCUCCUUUGCGCCAGGGCGGAGGCCGGAAGCGUUUCGCCUCCCGCGGGACGAUCGCCGGCCUGGGAGGGAGAUGCGAUCGGCUCCGAGGGAACCUUUGCCAAGGGCAGGCCGCCGGGCCCUGCAAGUCAGGCGAGCGAACGAACGAGACCGGAGGGAGCCAACGGGGCUCGCGUUCUCGUAUUUGUGAAGCCACUGGCACGACUGCAGCGAAGCAGGAUUUGGGUGUUUUUUUCCUUUUACUAUAAAACAGCACCUAAAGGUUUGGGGAGGGUUAAUAAAAGUUUUUAAAAAUAAUAAGGGCCCCGAUGAGGGCAACCUACAGCGGGUCCAGAGCUGCUGCGUAAAUUUGACGUCGCCUUAAAAUAAUUCCCGUCAGAGGCCGAGAGUGGAGCUGAGUCC
rnacentral:lncRNA from 1 species